ACAGUAGUCCCAAAAAAUUAUAUAGACCCAGGUCAACUCAAAGUUAACUCUAUUACGAGGAUGAAAUCAGUGACGGUACUGUUCCUGGCAGCUGUGUGCAUUUUCCAGCUUCUCAACAUUGAAGCUGCAUUGAUACAAUAUGGACCAAAUUCAAACCGAAGACCUGGGGGAUGCUAUGAUGAAAGGGUCGGGCAUUUAAAAGCUGGAGCUGAAGCACCAGUGCCUGGGGCAUGUGAAAAAAUGACUUGUGAUGUUUCAGGAUCUGGAUGGAUGCAACAUAUCAGUUGUGGUGUUGCACUCGUAAACAAGCCAAACUGUGUCGACAUCCCGGAGGACCUCAACAAGCCUUACCCACAGUGCUGUGCAGUCAAAUGUAUCACACGAUAAUAAUAAAAUAAAUCAACUUGUUCCACACAAUUUUAUACAAAGAUAAAUUAAUAAAAAAUUCGCGCAAA